CUGCAUUAAGUUCUGCAGUGCAUCUCCUUCUCAUGGACAGCGGCCCUAGCCCUCACCCUCCGAUCCAACAGGUCCCAGACAUGCUCAAUGGAAUUGAGAUCUGGGCUCUUCGCUGGCCAUGGCAGAACACUGACAUUCCUGUCUUGCAGGAAAUCACGCACAGAACGAGCAGUAUGGCUGGUGGUAUUGUCAUGCUGGAGGGUCAUGUCAGGAUGAGCAUGCAGGAAGGGUACCACAUGAGGGAGGAGGAUGUCUUCCCUGUAACGCACACGUUGAGAUUGCCUGCUAUGACAACAAGCUCAGUCCGAAGAUGCUGUGACACACCGCCCCAGACCAUGACAGACCCUCCACCUCCAAAUCGAUCCCGCUCCAGAGUACAGGCCUCGGUGUAAUGCUAAUUUCUUCGACAAUAAACGCGAAUCCGACCAUCACCCCUGGCGACGUCGUUGCUGGUGAUGUCUGGUGAGGACCUGCCUUACAACAGGCCUACAAGCACUCAGUCCAUCCUCUCUCAGCCUAUUGCGGACAGUCUGAGCACUGAUGGAGAGAUUGUGCGUUCCUGGUGUAACUCGGGCAGUUGUUGUUGCCAUCCUGUACCUGUCCCGCAGAUGUGAUGUUCGGAUGUACCGAUCCUGUUGUUACAUGUGGUCUGCCACUGCGAGGACGAUCAGCUGUCCAUCCUGUCUCCCUGUAGUGCUCUCUGAGGCGUCUCAUAGUACGGACAUUGCAAUUUAUUGCCCUGACCACAUCUGCAGUCCUCAUGCCUCCUUGCAGCAUGCCUAAGGCACGUUCACGCAGAUGAGCAGGGACCCUGGCCAUCUUUCUUUUGCUGUUUUUAAGUCAAUAGAAAGGCCUCUAGUGUGCUACGUUUUCAUAACUGUGACCUUAAUUGCCUACCGUCUGUAAGCUGUUACUGUCUUAAUGUCCGUUCCACAGGUUAAUUGUUUAUGGUUCAUUGAACAAGCAUGGGAAACAGUGUUUAAACCCUUUACAAUGAAGAUCUGUGAAGUUAUUUGGAUUUUUACAAAUUAUCUUUGAAAGACAGGGUCCUGAAAAAGUUUACAUAUUUGCAUAGAGCUUUCUAUUGGUUAAUUUUGAUACUUUCCAAGUGGGAAACUAUCUUUCUACAACAAAUGUUCAAGUCAGAGUUUCUGAGUUACGAGUUGUCUUGAAAGCAGCAAUAGGCCAGGGCUUAUAGUGCAAAUAUUUCCCAAGGUCAAAUGGGAUUGAUUAAACUUGAUUUAGAAACCAAACAAUUCUAAAUAAUUCGGCAGAUGAUGGACAAAUCUAUUAACACAUUCUACCUUCAUCUGCCAAAUGUCAGCAUCUGUGUAGAUUCUAAUUUUGCAUGUUCAAUGUAAAAAAGAAACCACAGUAAUGAAGUUCAAAGCAAAUAAUACACUUGCUAUUGCGCCGACACCCCUAGAGGGCGUAGUUCUUCCUGACAUCAUGUCUUACCUCUAUGUGUCAAAGUGAUCCCCUCAGCCGGAAUACACUUGUGUCCCCAUGCGACUAGUUCAUACAUAAUACAUCCUCCUAUCAGGCUGCACAGGUGUCUGUUUUCUCUUUAACUCAAUUUAAUGUGG
ensembl:lncRNA